AUGAACGCUGGCGGCGUGCUUAACACAUGCAAGUCGAACGAUGAAGCCCAGCUUGCUGGGUGGAUUAGUGGCGAACGGGUGAGUAACACGUGAGUAACCUGCCCUUAACUCUGGGAUAAGCCUGGGAAACUGGGUCUAAUACCGGAUAGGAGCGUCCACCGCAUGGUGGGUGUUGGAAAGAUUUAUCGGUUUUGGAUGGACUCGCGGCCUAUCAGCUUGUUGGUGAGGUAAUGGCUCACCAAGGCGACGACGGGUAGCCGGCCUGAGAGGGUGACCGGCCACACUGGGACUGAGACACGGCCCAGACUCCUACGGGAGGCAGCAGUGGGGAAUAUUGCACAAUGGGCGCAAGCCUGAUGCAGCGACGCCGCGUGAGGGAUGACGGCCUUCGGGUGGUAAACCUCUUUCAGUAGGGAAGAAGCGAAAGUGACGGUACCUGCAGAAGAAGCACCGGCUAACUACGU
rnacentral:rRNA from 1 species